AGUGAACGCUGGCGGUAGGCCUAACACAUGCAAGUCGAACGGCAGCACAGUAAGAGCUUGCUCUUACGGGUGGCGAGUGGCGGACGGGUGAGGCAUACAUCGGAAUCUACUUUUUCGUGGGGGAUAACGUAGGGAAACUUACGCUAAUACAGCAUACGACGUACGGGUGAAAGCAGGGGAUCUUCGGACCUUGCGCGAUUGAAUGAGCCGAUGUCGGAUUAGAUAGUUGGCGGGGUAAAGGCCCACCAAGGCGACGAUCCGUAGCUGGUCUGAGAGGAUGAUCAGCCACACUGGAACUGAGACACGUUCCAGACUCCUACGGGAGGCAGCAGUGGGGAAUAUCGGACAAUGGGCGCAAGCCUAAGCCAGCCAGACCGCGUGGGUGAAGAAGGCCUUCGGGUUGUAAAGCCCUUUUGUUGGGAAAGAAAAGCAUAGGUUAAUACCCCGCUGUUCUGACGGUACCCAAAGAAUAAGCACCGGCUAACUUCGUG
rnacentral:rRNA from 1 species